GAACAUGAGCUCUCAGCACUUUCCCAGAGUCACUCUCCACCUGCUCCUUUGAGCUCCUGAUGGAGGAUCAUUGAGCAUGUGGCGCUCCACAUCCCUCAUUGUCUGUCUGAGCUCUUCCAUUGGCUCCAAACGGUGAGAAACUCCAACAAGCUCAAGCCUCACACAUUCAUAUGGAGAUUUGGGAGUAUAAAUAGAGGAGCUGCAGCCAGUGCAAACCAGACUCAGUCUGAACAGAGAGAUCUACAGCACAGAGAUCCAGACAUGACAGCUACAAUCAUCUCAAAGGAGCUUCUCCCUCUCAACAACAAGCUGAGAAAGCCGAUGGUGGAGAAGAUGUGCAGAGAUGGUAUCAACAGCAUCUACUGAAACACCAGUGGUUUCUGAAACAUCUGAUGAAGUAAAAGUGGCUGUUCCUCUAUCAGCUGCACUUCACAGUAACAGCAAAUGCAUUGAUUUUAACACCUGACACCUGAAGGAAAGCAAACAAGGAAAACAAAUCUUUAUCAGACACAGAGGAUGUGAACCACAUUUUAGUUCACAAUAUUUCUUUCUGAUGUGCAAAGACUGUUAAUCUGUCUCAGAUUUUAUAAUUCACAUCUAUGUUAGGUGCAACUUAGUUUAAUUGGAUUUGAUUUUAUGAAUCCAGUUUUGCUGGAUGUGUUGUGUAUUGUUGAAUGCAUUUGUGUACACCUUCAGUGAAGGACAAUUACAUUUCUUAUUACACAAUUGUAAACCUUUGCUUUAUGUGAAGUACAAAUAUCCCACAUUGGGAGCUGGUUUUGAAUAUUUUGUCAGUAUGAUAAACACUCAGUUGUCCUCAUAGGACAUUUAAUCAUAUCAUAGAAUCACAUCUAAAUGUGGUUCAGUGUUUUUUCUGCCAUGCAAAUAACUCACUUUUGUUGAGUUUGACACCUGUGGAUGUAUAUGUCAUCAUAAAAUUGUGAUUAACUCUUAAUUACCUUCACAUUAAGCACUACUCUUUCUGUUAUGCUUUACUUUCACCCCUCAUGUGGAGGAAUGUUAAUGUCACAUGACUUUUGUAAAGUUUAAUAAAAUGUAUUUGAUGUGAAUCCCAAUAUCAAUAUUUUUGGAGACCUUUUAAUGCAUUUAAUUGCAAUGCAUUUAAUGUGAUAUGUUAUCACCAAUUUAUUUGCUUUCAUAAUGAAAUCAUGUCAUCACAAAAUAAUAAAAACAAGUUCAAAUGUA